CGACUACGGAACAGACCCGAACGUUUUACAGUCCCGACUCCACAGGGCAGGGUGAUGGCUAACGGCCACCCGGGGUGACCCGCGGGACAGUGCCACAGAAAACAAACCGCCCGGCGCUCAGGCGCUGGGUAAGGGUGAAACGGUGGUGUAAGAGACCACCAGCGCCUGAGGUGACUUGGGCAGCUAGGUAAACCCCACCCGGAGCAAGGUCAAUGAGCGCCGUGAAAGGCGCUCUGCGAGGACGUUCGAGGGCUGCCCGCCCGAGUCCCCGGGUAGACCGCACGAGGCCGGCGGCAACGCCGGCCCUAGAUAGAUGGCCGUCUCCCCGGCCGCCGCGAGGCAACCGGGCGACAAAAUCCGGCGUACAGCCCGACUCGUCUG
rnacentral:RNase_P_RNA from 1 species